rnacentral:rRNA from 1 species
AGGUUAAGCGACUAAAGCGUACACGGUGGAUGCCUUG